rnacentral:ncRNA from 2 species
AGCCAAGCGUUCAUAGCGACGUUGC